rnacentral:rRNA from 1 species
UACGUAGGGACCAAGCGUUGUUCGGAUUUACUGGGCGUAAAGGGCGCGUAGGCGGCGUGUUAAGUCACUUGUGAAAUCUCUAAGCUUAACUUAGAACGGUCAAGUGAUACUGAUGUGCUAGAGUGCAGAAGGGGCGAACCAUGGAAUUCUUGGUGUAGCGGUGAAAUGCGUAGAUAUCAAGAGGAACACCUGAGGUGAAGACGGGUUGCUGGGCUGACACUGACGCUGAGGCGCGAAAGCUAGGGUAGCAAACGGG